rnacentral:tRNA from 1 species
GCAUAGCUCAGCUGGCAGAGCAGCUGAUUUGUAAUCAGCAGGUCGGGGGUUCAAAUCCCUCUGCG